rnacentral:rRNA from 1 species
AAUGGCCGAAAGGCUGAACCAGUAACUUGGAAGAAUGGAAGUGUAUAAAAAGAAUACAGUAACGAUUAACUCGUAUAAAAUUCUAAAUAGAAGAAUGAUAAUGACAAAUUUCUAUUUAUAAGUCUUGACCAACUUACGUGCCAGCAGUCGCGGUAAUACGUAAGAGACUAGUGUUAGUCAUCUUUAUUAGGUUUAAAGGGUACCUAGACGGUAAAUUAAACUCUAAAAGAGUACUUUUUUACUAGAGUUUUAUGAAAGAAGGAUGAAUUUCUGGAGUAGUGAUAGAAUAUUAUGAUACCAGAGAGACAGGUAACGGCGAAGGCAACCUUCCAUGUAAAAACUGACGUUGAGGGACGAAGGCUAGGGUAGCGAAAAGGAUUAGAUACCCUUGUAGUCCAAGCAGACAAUGAUGAAUGCCAUAGACUAGAUAUAUAUUUAGUUCAUAAAUGAAAGUGUAAGCAUUCCACCUCAAGAGUAAUAUGGCAACAUAUAAACUGAAAUCAUUAGACCGUUUCUGAAACCAGUAGUGAAGUAUGUUGUUUAAUUCGAUGAUCCGCGAAAAACCUUACCACAGUUUGAAUAAAAUUUACAAGCGCUGCACGGCUGUCUUUAGUUUAUGUCGUGAGAUAUGGUUAAUUCCUUAAAUAAACGAAAACCCUCAUUUUAUUUAUAUAUAUAAAGUGGUUCGCUAAGAAAUUAGAUUGCUAAAAGGGAUUAAGACAAGUCAUCAUGGCCUAAAUACUGUGGGCUAUAGA